AUUCUACUCCCCCCGUUGCACAAUACAUGCCUUCUAUUUGUCAAAAUAUACAUGUUUCUAGACAUGUUUUAGUAUAUAGGUACAUCCAUUUUUGGACAAAUGGAAGUCAAGUAUUUUGGAAAGGAGGGAGUACACA
rfam:Triticum urartu cultivar G1812 contig1065778, whole genome shotgun sequence.